CCUACGGGUGGCAGCAGUGAGGAAUAUUGGUCAAUGGACGAGAGUCUGAACCAGCCAAGUAGCGUGAAGGAUGACUGCCCUAUGGGUUGUAAACUUCUUUUAUAUGGGAAUAAAAUGUUCGACGUGUGGUGUUUUGUAUGUACCAUAUGAAUAAGGAUCGGCUAACUCCGUGCCAGCAGCCGCGGUAAUACGGAGGAUCCGAGCGUUAUCCGGAUUUAUUGGGUUUAAAGGGAGCGUAGGCGGAAUGUUAAGUCAGUGGUGAAAGUUUGAGGCUCAACCGUAGAAUUACAGUUGAAACUGGCAGUCUUGAGUAUGGUAGAGGUGGGCGGAAUGCGUGGUGUAGCGGUGACAUGCUUAGAUAUCACGAAGAACUCCGAUUGCGAAGGCAGCCCACUGGACUGCAACUGACACUGAGGCUCGAAAGUGUGGGUAUCAAACAGGAUUAGAUACCCCGGUAGUC
rnacentral:rRNA from 1 species